rnacentral:rRNA from 1 species
GACGAACGCUGGCGGCGUGCUUAACACAUGCAAGUCGAACGGAAAGGCCCUGCUUUUGUGGGUUGCUCGAGUGGCGAACGGGUGAGUAACACGUGAGUAACCUGCCCUUGACUUUGGGAUAACUCCAGGGAACUGGGGCUAAUACCGGAGAGGAGCUCCUGCUGCAUGGUGGGGGUUGGAAAGUUUCGGCGGUUGGGGAUCGGUUGGCGGGUUAUCAGCUUGUUGGUGGGGUAGUGGGUUACCAAGGUUUUGACGGGUAGGCCGCCUGAGAGGGUGACAGGCCACAUUGGGACUGAGGUACGGCCCAGACUCGUACGGGAGGCAGCAGUGGGGAAUCUUGCACGAUGGGCGGAGGGCGGAUGCAGCAACGCUGCGUGUGGGAUGACUGUCUUAGGGUUGUAGACCGAUUUCGCCUGUAACGAAGCGUGAGUGACGGUAAUGGGUAAAGAAGCACCGGCUAACUACGUG